rnacentral:rRNA from 1 species
UUUUGGACAAUGGACGAAAGUCUGAUCCAGCCAUUCCGCGUGCAGGACGAAGGCCUUCGGGUUGUAAACUGCUUUUGUACAGAACGAAAAAGUUUCUAUUAAUACUAGGAGCUCAUGACGGUACUGUAAGAAUAAGCACCGGCUAACUACGUGCCAGCAGCCGCGGUAAUACGUAGGGUGCAAGCGUUAAUCGGAAUUACUGGGCGUAAAGCGUGCGCAGGCGGUUAUGUAAGACAGAUGUGAAAUCCCCGGGCUCAACCUGGGAACUGCAUUUGUGACUGCAUAGCUGGAGUGCGGCAGAGGGGGAUGGAAUUCCGCGUGUAGCAGUGAAAUGCGUAGAUAUGUGGAGGAAUACCAAUGGCGAAGGCAGCCCCCUGGGAUAACACUGACGCUCAUGCACGAA